GGAGCAGUAGUACCAUUAUUCUUUAGGAUAUUAUGUCAUUGGUGAAUGAUUUAUAUGGACUAUAAAAUUGAUAUGUCUGCUUUAAUGUUCACUAGUUAUAUAUAUUUUUUUGUUCAUAAUAAAGGAUGGAGAGAGAAAAUUAUGGGUUCUGGAAUCAACAGAAGAAGUUUUCUCAGCUUUGCUCCUCGAGAGGGUCUCUGUGUAUCUUGAUGUCAACACUGCGUAGUUGUAGUCCUGAGUCAAACUGGAUGGAAUUCCUUAAGUGGAACCUAGUCUCGUUGGAUACAAGGUGUUAUUCUGACUCGGAAAACAAAUUAUUCAUGAUUCUGUUAUUCGUUACCAAAGGAUUCCCAGGAAGAGACUAAGAGACGUAUAAAUAUGACUCUUUAUAUUGUUAUGAUUCAUGUAGUAAAAAGAGGAAGGGAAGAAUGUCAUUCUGGAGCCAAGCAAGCAUCCCUGACGUCUCAGCAUCCUGAUUGUCAAUGCAUGUAGGAAAUUUCUCCCUGUUGACUCACAAGUCUAUGGAACCUUUAUGGGCUCCACUGCUGUUUUGCUGAGAUACCUCCCACCUCUGCUACAUCCCAGAACCUGCUAUUCAUCCUGUUUCUAACUCAGUUUAUAAAUCUAUAACUGAUGGACAAAAAUAUUUACUUAUGACUGAGUAAUAUUGUGAGAUUUCAAACAUGUAAAAUGAUACACUUGAAAAGCAUGGAGAAAAUAUUGUGUUUGAGUACUUGUACAAGGUUGGUGUAAAUGGGAAGGGAACAGUUUGGAAAAACAACAGAAUUAAAUGCAUCUGCUACCUGAGACAGCCACUCAAUUAAAAGACACUUGUUUUUAAAAGCUGAAGACCAAAUAAAAAUUGUUUAAAUGUUG
rnacentral:lncRNA from 1 species